rnacentral:lncRNA from 1 species
GCAGUUUCGGGCUGUGAGAGCCGAAGCUCACUGAGAUGUGACGCUUCCUGUUGGGUUGAGAACGCACGAAGUCUACGAUGCUUAGACAAAAAAAUCUCAGAAACUAAGAAAUCAUUCGAAUCCAGUUCCUUGUUUAUUCACAAUUAAAACCUUAGUGAUAAAACAGAGGCGACGCGCGGACAGCUCCUGGAAGCAGAAACACGAUUGGGGUAAAAUCCGGCAGCUAUCAGGACGGGAAGGGAUGCUGCCCUUCUUUGCUUUUCUGGUCUUAUUUUAUUUUAUUUUAUUUUUAUUUUGUCGCGUGUGCUUUCGGUGUCGCAGUGAAGUCAUAGCCAAAUACAAUGUUAGGAAGAUUUUCCUCUAUGUUUUCUCCUAAGAGUUUUAUAAUUUAAACUCUUAGACCUUUAAUCCAUUUUGAGUUAAUUUUCAUAUGUGGUAUGAGUCCACAUUUACUCUUUUUCAUGUGGAUAUCCAGUUUUCUUAGUACCAUUUGUUGAAAAGACAUUCUGUGCCCGUUUUUAAGACAUUGACCUGAGGUUCGGAGAUUGUAAAUCAUUUGCCAAGAAAGGCCAUGCAGUUUGGGAGCAGCAGUGCCUGGGGCUACAGAAGACCCUUGCUUCUGGGACACCCUCUAAUGUCAUGCUUUGCAAGGUUUUGCUCUGUCCCUCUUUGAGCACCUGCUAGAAGCAGGUAAAAGAACUGGUAGUUUUGCUGUUUUAACUUAAAAAAAGAAUGAUUUUAGACUUACAGAAAAGUUGCAAAGGUAAUAAAGGGAGUUCCCACAUACCCAUCACCCAUAUUGCCUUAUGUUAACAGCUUAUAUAACCAAUGAAACUAAAAACUUAACAGUGAUACGAAACUAUUAACUGUGUUACUGAUUUUAUUUUAAUUUCACCAACUGUUCCACUAAUGUCCGUUUUCUAUUCCAGGACCCAAUUCAGGAUACCAUAUUGCAGUUAGUUUUCCUGUGUUCUUAGCCUCCUCUAAUCUGUGACAGUUUCUCAGUCAGUUGUCUUCAAAAACCUUGACACUUUUGAACAGUACUGGUUUCUGUAUACUAUCCCUCAGUUUGGGUUUGUCUGAUGUUUUCUCAUGAUUGGACUGAAGCUGUGGAUGUUUAGGAAGAAUGCUACAGAGAUUAUGUGCCUUUCUCAUUGCCUGGUAUCUGUGGGUACACGGUAUCAACAUGACCUAUCACUGAUCACUGGGGAACUGAUCAUUUGUUGUUUCUUGUCUUUUAAACCUAAGCCACUGCAAUAGUUUCUGAAAUUCCUGUUCUGGGGAUGCUACCAGAUUUCUGCUUCAAUAUCAUUUCCAUGCCAUUUGUUUUCAUAUACAUCUAAAAUGGCCUUUGAUUGUUUAUUGCACCAAGUUCAAGCUUCGCAAACUGGCAUUUUGAAGUCUCAUUUUAUCCAGCCAACUUUACCUUCCACUGUUCCUCACACAUUCCCUUUGUCCUCAUUUCUUCUCUCCAAACCACCAUUUCCAGUCUGUCCUUAGGCCAAGGCCCGGGGUUCCUUUAAUUUCUUGUUCAAGUCAACAUGAAGUUCCUUUGACUUCUUCACACAGCAGUGAGUUUUUCUCUUUUCUAAAUUUCUGGUCAGUUCCUACAAUCUCACUUUAAUGUGGUUUUACUUUUUUUCUCCAGGUGUUUAAUGUGUGUUUUUGGUCUUCUCCCCAAGCAAUGGAAACAGAGUUGCUGCUUCAGUGGUAGUAGUACUUGCAAUUCAAGUAACACUAACUUAAAAUCUACUUUAGACACAGUGGGCGAUAGUAUGAAAGAACCAAGAAGGAUUUCGGCUGUCCUGGAGCUGAUAAUGCUGCAAACAAGGUCUAAGAUUCAUACAAAUUCCGGAAGAUUGAAUGAAAAUCCUGCCUCCGUCUGGGAGUAUUAUUUAUUUGCAUAGCAUAGACAGGCCUCACACCCGAUUUCCUGAAGCACUGCCAGCCAGCUUGACUCACCGCCCCCACAGUGAUGCCCGAUUCUUCCAUCAAGGCUGGAACACAGGAGCAAAUAGCUUGAACAUACAAGGAUUAUAUUGUUCCUUCUCUUAAAGUUACCUCUGUCAUGCGCGUCCGUGUGAAGAUACCACCAAACAGGCUUUGUAUCUUCAGUUGCUUCAGGCCAUCUGGAUGUAUACGUCAGGUCACAGGGGAUAUGAUGGCUUAGCUUGGGCUCAGAGGCCUGACAACCUCCAGAUUCAGAGUUCUUAACCUCUUUUUCCUGGGAAGUUUGCUGAGGAGCCAGAUGCCUUGUGCUGACUUGUCUAUUUUGAAAGAGGCUGCAGAAACACUCGAUUCCACCUCAACCCGGAAUUCAGCUUUCUUAGGAAAGGAAAUAACCCCCGAAGCCUUUGCAACUAAGGACAUGUAUCCUUCAGACAAGUGUUUACUGGGCAACUUCUUCGUGCUGUAAUUGAGUGUGGCCGAUUGCUCACAAAGAUGUUUGCAAAAUCCCUCCUGUCCCCUAACUCACUUCUCCUUGCAGUGUCACUCUGCCAACUUCUCCUGUCGAUUGGUGAAGACUGUUUCUCCUCCCCCUUGAAUAUGGGCUGGGCUUGUAACUUGCUUGACCAAUAGAAUGCAGAGAAAUGAAAUGCAGCCUUCAACAUUCAAGGCUAUGCUCAAGGAGUCUAACCCUGUGGAUAUGCUGUUGUCAAAUGAGGGAGCUUCGAUUAGCCUGUUGAAGACACACAGACGACCCGACAGGCAAUACCAACAUUCAGAUAUGCAAGUUAUGCUGUCUUAGACCAUGCUGCCCAGGUGAACUUUUAGACGACUGCAAUUUGUGAGUGACUCUAGGCAAGACCAGAAGAAACUUCUAGCUAAAUCUAAACCAAAUGCCAACUCAGAAUUGUAAGCAAAUAAAACGGUUGUUGUUUAAAGACACUAACUUUUGGGGUGUUUUGCCACACCUCAAUACAUAACUGUUACACUAAUUAUUUUUCAUUGUGAAAUCUUCAGCGUCUUAUUCUGUAAUCAAACCAGAAUGUCCUUGCCUUCUUAGCACUUUGCCACAGUCCAGUGGGGUGAAUAGACAGCAGCUGCUCAUUUAUGCUCAUGCUCAUGUUCAUAAUUUGCAUUUGGACUAAAAGGAGCUCUGUUCUCCAGGACAGAACUAUUCUAAAGCUCUUCAGGAACAGGAACAGGAGUCCAUCACAGACAGCGAAAUCAAAAGCGCCCUACAUAGAGGCAUCCAGACUGAGAGCUGAAAGGGAUCUGGGAAAUCAUUUAGUCUCACUCCCUCAUUUUCCAUUCAGACCACAGGGAUGAAAGAACUUGCUGAAGUUCUCACAGCUCUGUAGUGGCACAGUCAGAACAAGGAUCCCAAUCUCCUAACUACUAACAUAAAAUGCUUUCAGCAUGCAAGUUGAGCAUACAAUGGGACAGUUUAAAUUUAAAUGGUGUUUUGAGCAAGGGGAGAGUCUAAUUAAUUACUUCAAAGUAUAAUUUUGGAGUCACCAGAAAGGCGUUAAAGACAAAAAAAUGCUUUGGAACCUAGGUGCUUCAUAUCUGAAAUUGGGGCAGGUACAGGUGUAUUCCUACCACUAAAGGGUCAUUAGUUGGUUGGGUAGUCCUUUAGUGUUCUUGGUACUAAGCACAAAACAUGGGUAAGAUGGUUCAAGGCUGGUUGUGGUGGCUCAUGCCUAUAGCCCCAGCAUUUUAGGAGGCCAAGGCUGGAGGAUAGCUUGAGCCCAGGAAUUCGAGACAAGCCUGGGCAAUAUCGCAAGACCUUGUCUCUACAAAUAAUAAUUUCUUAAGAAUUGGCUGGGCAUGGUGGCACACACCUGUAGGCUAUUUGAGAGGUUGAGGUGGGAGGAUUGCUUUAGUGUGGGAGGCUGAGGCUGCAAUGAGGUGAUCACACUAUGGUACUACAGCCUGAGAAACAGUGUAAGAUCCUGCCUCAAAAAAAAAAAGUUUAUGUUCUCAAAGUGCUCAUAAUCUAGUGGUAGUACAGUAUUUGAGAUAUUAGAGCAGUUUCUCCUCCUUUUGCAACUAAGGACAUGUAUCUUUAAAGCAGAAGGAAUGGCAGAGUCGUGUAAUAAACCCUCAAGUACCAUUACUUAGCUUCAACAACUAUCGACACUCUACUGUUCUUGUUUCAUUUAUGCCUCACCUCCUUCCCAUCCCCCACUUGAAUAUUCUCAUCCUUUUUUUUUACAGUUUUUAAGAUAACAAUUACAUAACUGAAAUGCACAAAUCUUAGCUGUACAGUUUUGACAUAUGGAUACACCUGUGUAACCAAUGACUGUAUCACAACAUAGAGCAUUUCAUCUCCCCAGCAAGAUCCAUGUGUCUUUUCCUAGUUAAUGCCUCUUUAUUUCUGAGAUGGUUAUUGCUCUGCUUUUGUUUUUCAUGUUAGGCUAGUCUUGCCUGUUCUAGAAUUUCAUAUAACUGAGAACAUACAGAAUGUACUCACUAGUAGUGUCUGACUUUUUCACAAAGGAUAAUGUCUGUGGUAUUCAUUCAUGCUGUUGUAUGCAUCAGUAGUUUAUUUUCUUUUUACUAUUAAGUAGUGUUCUAAGGACUAUUUUAAUAGCAUCCCACAAAGGGGGUAUGAUAUGUUCUAUUUACAUUAUUAUUUGGUUUGUAAUAUUUUAUAUUUUCUCUUGUGAUUUCUCCUUUCACUCAUGAAUUAUUAUAAUAAAUUUUUUAAAGUGUAUUAUAAUAUAUUUAGUGAAACUGUAUUAUUUGAUUUACUAAUGUCUGGUGCUUUUGUAUCUGGUG